GUUGGUUUAUAUAGCUAUAGCCAGUAUUUACAGCUUAAAUUAAAGUUUUAAUCUUAGCCUAAUCAAAGGUAACUUGCAAAAUUGAACUAAACCCCGAGGUGACAAUUUUGUAACGAAGUUAUCGGCUACUUAUGAAGGAGAAAUUUGAUAAAUUGGGGUUACAACUUUAAAUUGAAUUAGAAAUGGUCAGGCGCAAGCUAUUCUGAAAAACUGUAAGGGAUUUUAAUACAUGGAAGCCAGCAUUUGGCAUUUGUAUGCAGAAAAAUAUAAUUUUUGUAUGCUUUUAGUGCGUCUGCGGUUCUCUUGAUCGCGAUAACAGAGUUUAAAUUGCAACGUCAACAACCAGAGGUGUAAUGUUCAUGACGUCACACUGCACUGAUGCCCCAGCUGAACAACAUCAAGACGGCCACGUGCAAUAAUACCGUACAAUAUACAGAUCAGCUGCUUUGCAUUCUCAUAUAUCAAAAUCUACCGGGACCUGCGAUUGCAUUGUUUAUCAAUACAACUUGAUUCAAAACAAGCGAGAAAAAUUGGAGCUUCAGCUGGUUGAGUAAGAACAAAGCACUUCUUUUGUGGGUGAAACCUUUGUCUUCUAAAUCUGCUUCCAGUAACUGAGAUGUUGACGUCACCGGAAAGAAGCCACUUGUGGCCAUUACUACAAUAUAACGGAACGUCACUUUUGUUUUGCAGUCGCUCUCAACGUGGUUUUCAAGAGAACAGCUUCUUUCCACAACAGCGGAGAAAAUUGAUUGAAAGAUUACAUCUCGGGUCAUCAAAACACGCUUAUUGUGGUAAUUCAGGGUCACUUAUAUCAAUCACCUUCAGCCAACUGCGGGAUAUUUGUACCUAAAAAGUCACGAUUCACGUUCAAACCGAAUUCUUCGUAUACUUGUUGCAAGCGAAAGCCACAGUAGCUGGCAUCUAACUGAGAGAGUCUGCGUCAGCCUUACGGAGUUUAAGUCGUCAACAUUUGCUUGGACUGAUUUUGAAGCCGAGUUGUACAGUGCAUUGCCGGAUUGUCCAGUCUUCAAGCCCUCGACAACCUUACUCCUAAGCUCAGCUACCUUCGCUGAAUUAUUUGAACAUCAAAGAAUAUGAACGUCAGAGUUAAAGGCCGAAAUCUACUGAGCCGAAGAAGCUUUGUGACAGGGAAGUCAAUAUGCGAUGAAACAAGGUGGCUUCUAAUCUCUGGGAGCAAUUCCGACAUCACAGAUCAGACUCAAAUUUGCGAUUUAAACCAAGCUUCGAAUGAUUGGAGCUCGAAGGCGCAAGAUAUUAAUCCUUUGAGAAGAACAAGGUCAGUGACAGGGUCGAAUGGCUUUCCACAAACCACACAAAAACCUAAUGAUGGUAAAGUUUGCGGUAACGCUUGCGAACGAUGUAGUUAUCCAAAGAUUGUAGCAGCUGUGAGUGAUGAUGUGAAAGGCUGUCUUCCAAGCCCGACUCUAAUGAGACGCCGUAAUGCCAUAUGCGAUGAAAUCGAAAAAAGAACUAUGGCUAUGUCUGGGAGAACAUUGAGACAAAAACGAGUUGAUAUGCUUCGAUCGAUUGCCUUGACGCAAUUCUCAUUGUUGUAAUAUCACUGCAAUGUCCGUGCACACGCGAAAAAAUUAGCCCGGUCUGCACUUCAUGAGCCUGAACGUAGCUCGUAGAAUCGAUGACAGAUUACAAGAGGGAUUUUCAGUUUAGAUGCAGACCUAUGCCCGAUGAUGAAAGUGUCAUUCUAUUCGUUGUAAACAGAGGUAGAGAUUAUAUACGUCCUGGGUGUUCAUAUAGUGGAGGUUGAUGUAUAAGGAUAGGUCCCAUCGUAAUAUGUAUAAACUGUUGAAGUAAUUGUUUAAGUACGAAACAGUUAAACGAAAGUUGCGUUUUACUUUCUCUAGAGAAUAAAAUUCCACGGGGUUCCAUC